rnacentral:rRNA from 1 species
UGCUUGCACGGUUGGAUUAGUGGCGAACGGGUGAGUAUCACGUGAGUAACCUUCCCUUAACUCUGGGAUAAGCCCGGGAAACUGGGUCUAAUACCGGAUACGACCAGUCCUCGCAUGGGGUGCUGGUGGAAAGAUUUAUCGGUUUUGGAUGGACUCGCGGCCUAUCAGCUUGUUGGUGAGGUAAAGGCUCACCAAGGCGAUGACGGGUAGCCGGCCUGAGAGGGUGACCGGCCACACUGGGACUGAGACACGGCCCAGACUCCUACGGGAGGCAGCAGUGGGGAAUAUUGCACAAUGGGCGAAAGCCUGAUGCAGCGACGCCGCGUGCGGGAUGACGGCCUUCGGGUUGUAAACCGCUUUCAGCAGGGAAGAAGCGAAAGUGACGGUACCUGCAGAAGAAGCGCCGGCUAACUACGUGCCAGCAGCCGCGGUAAUACGUAGGGCGCGAGCGUUAUCCGGAAUUAUUGGGCGUAAAGAGCUCGUAGGCGGUUUGUCACGUCUGCUGUGAAAGCCCGGGGCUCAACCCCGGGUGUGCAGUGGGUACGGGCAGACUAGAGUGCAGUAGGGGAGACUGGAAUUCCUGGUGUAGCGGUGAAAUGCGCAGAUAUCAGGAGGAACACCGAUGGCGAAGGCAGGUCUCUGGGCUGUUACUGACGCUGAGGAGCGAAAGCAUGGGGAGCGAACAGGAUUAGAUACCCUGGUAGUCCAUGCCGUAAACGUUGGGCACUAGGUGUGGGGGACAUUCCACGUUUUCCGCGCCGUAGCUAACGCAUUAAGUGCCCCGCCUGGGGAGUACGGCCGCAAGGCUAAAACUCAAAGGAAUUGACGGGGGCCCGCACAAGCGGCGGAGCAUGCGGAUUAAUUCGAUGCAACGCGAAGAACCUUACCAAGGCUUGACAUGGACCGGACCGCUGCAGAGAUGCAGUUUCCCUUCGGGGUCGGUUCACAGGUGGUGCAUGGUUGUCGUCAGCUCGUGUCGUGAGAUGUUGGGUUAAGUCCCGCAACGAGCGCAACCCCUAUCCUAUGUUGCCAGCACGUUAUGGUGGGGACUCAUGGGAGACUGCCGGGGUCAACUCGGAGGAAGGUGGGGACGACGUCAAAUCAUCAUGCCCCUUAUGUCUUGGGCUUCACGCAUGCUACAAUGGCCGGUACAAUGGGUUGCGAUACUGUGAGGUGGAGCUAAUCCCUAAAAGCCGGUCUCAGUUCGGAUCGAAGUCUGCAACUCGACUUCGUGAAGUUGGAGUCGCUAGUAAUCGCAGAUCAGCAACGCUGCGGUGAAUACGUUCCCGGGCCUUGUACACACCGCCCGUCAAGUCACGAAAGUGG